CGCGAACGGCUCAUUAUAACAGCUAUAAUUACUUGAAUUCGACAACCCUACUUGGAUACCGGUGGUAAUUCUAGCGCUAAUACAUGCACCAAAGCUCCGACCGCGAGGGAAGAGCGCAUUUAUUAGAACAAAACCACACGGCUUCGGCCGUCCAAUGUGGACUCAGAAUAACUAAGCUGAUCGCAUGGUCUUGCACCGGCGACGUUUCUUUCAAGUAUCUGCCUUAUCAACUUUCGAUGGUAGUGUAUCUGACUACCAUGGUGAUGACGGGUAACGGAGGAUAAGGGUUCGACUCCGGAGAAGGGGCCUGAGAAAUGGCCACUACGUCUAAGGAUGGCAGCAGGCGCGCAAAUUACCCACUCUCAGUACGAGGAGGUAGUGACGAGAAAUAACAAGACCGUUCUCACAAGAGGCCGGUCAUCGGAAUGGGUACAAUUUGAACCCUUUAACGAGUAUCUAUGAGAGGGCAAGUCUGGUGCCAGCAGCCGCGGUAAUUCCAGCU
rnacentral:rRNA from 1 species